UUUUCCAGGCAAGAGUACUGGAGUGGGUUGCCAUUGCCUUCUCCGAGGAUUGAAUGAAAGCUGGCUUUUCAAACCUAUGGUAAUUGGGAUGAAGGCUGCAGCUGGAUUCCUCUGGCCUCUAAUGCCUUCAGGGAGUGGUCCACUGUAGCCUGGCCAAAGGAGAGCACAGUUCUCUGACCUCAGCAAAGAACAGAAACCUCAAAUGCUCGGACCAGAGGAUGAUUCUGUAAGAAUAGCAGGCCAAGACAAAGGGGAGGUAAAAAAUGAAGCCAUUCUGAUUGUGUCAGAGGUAAGGAGUGGACAGUUUAUACAACAGGUAGAGUGGGCGGGAGGGAAGGGGUCUAGUUUUGCUCAGACUUGCUUCAUUUCUCUGCACUUGACUCUGCAGCUUCUGCACAGACUGAGUGUGGGCCAAGAUGUCCCCGAAGUGUCCCCAGACCCAGCACGUGCCUGCUUUGUGGCAGACACUGCUGUUGCCAGCUCCCCAGUCAUUCUCCUUUCCUGCAAUAGAACCUCGCUUGGGAUUUUGAGUGUCGCUUUGCUGAACCAUUAAAAAUAAAUAAAAACUCAAAGCUCACUUACUGCCUCCCUUGCAGCUGGUGACUGGCUGUGUGACUUAGCUCUGACCGAUGAGAUAAAGGCAGCAUCCCCAGGGAGGUAGCCAUCCACGUCCCCCUCUGUGUCCCUUUGCCUUCCACCUUCUUCCUUUUGCUCCUUUGUGGUUGUGAUGCUUGAAGGAGCAGCAGCAUCCAGCAACUAUAGGGACAAUGCAGAAAGGGAGAAGGCAGGUGGUGACAUUUCAAAGUUGCCCUUCGAGCCCUUGUAGGGGCAGAAAAUGCUCCCUUCUUCACUUCUAGAGUCUUUGGAUGGUCUUAUAAUUAAAUUGACAAAAAACAGAUUAAUAGAGAAAAAAAUUUAAUUCCAUAUGUCCAGAAGUGCCAAGGAUAUGAGACUCAAGACCAAGUCAGGCAGUUGAGCUUAUGUCCCAGCUUCAGCUAAGGAAUAGGAUGGGGGUCAGGGGCUUCAAGUAAGGGUGGGGGGAGGACAAUUCACAGAACAAUGAGAUGAGCAGAUGUUUGGUAAUUAGAAAUUUGCCAUGCCAUGCAGAUAUGCCUUUCAGAUAAAAACAUUAUCUCUGGUAAUAAUCCUUUUUUUUUUUUUUUGGUACAGGUCCCUAUCUAAAUUCUUCAAGGCAGUUAAGGAAGGAGUAAAAGAUUUUCCUGAGUCUCGAGGUCUUGAUUGCCUUCAGCUCAAAAUAAUUCACAUGCCAAAGUGACAUAUUUUGGGAUAGCAUGUUUUGCUCCCCUUCAUCCUGGGCAAAUCAACACUCUGUGUGUAUGUGUGUGCGGGUGAAAGAGAUGUGUAUGUUUUCCUAUAACAAAUAAACACUUUUCCUUGUUUAAGCCAGGNNNNNNNNNNNNNNNNNNNNNNNNNNNNNNNNNNNNNNNNNNNNNNNNNNNNNNNNNNNNNNNNNNNNNNNNNNNNNNNNNNNNNNNNNNNNNNNNNNNCAAAUAAACACUUUUCCUUGUUUAAGCCAGGGCAGUAGGGUUCUCUGUUAUAGCCAAAUGAAUUCUUAACUGCUACAAGUUCUAUGUCAUGUCCUUUGAAAUUCCACAUUACUCGCUCCUUUGAAUUAAGUGCUGAAGGCCAGUGUUAAAAUACAAAUGCUCAUUGAGAGAAGAACAUUUUAAGUUGUAACAAGCCAUUGACAUCUUACUGAAAGUGAGUUCAUCAAAAUAGCUCUCUGGUCCAGUAGCAGGGGGCUGAAAGAUAGGCAGGGAGGCAGAUGGGCUUUGAUGGGAGGGCAGGGGUUCUAUUUCCACCGGGUCACUAUAGUGACAGUCCUGGGGUCUGGGAGUUAGAGGUCUUAGGGGAGGUGGGCAGUGCUUGAGGGAAGAUGAAGGACUGGAAAGAAUAUGGAAAAGACCAAAAGUGGCCUUGAAUUCAUCUUCCGAAGAGAACACUUCAACCCUGAACAGCAUUGGAAUUAGCCUCAGACAUCUACAGGGGAGAUGGGAGAGCUGCAUAAAUAUUGCCUGGACAGUUUAGACUUCAGUUCAGUUCAGUUGCUCAGUCGUGUCCGACUCUUUCGACCCCAUGA
ensembl:lncRNA